GCUGUGAUGAACUUAACAGUUUUGACUGACUGGUGAUAAAGCUUUAAUGUCCUCUAAGAAGUUCUGAGCAG
rnacentral:snoRNA from 1 species